GGGGCAGUAGCUCAGAUGGUAGAGCAAUGAUCACUUUCCGCUGCUGGCAGACAAAGUUCCUAUUGGUACAUGGGUCACAGGUUCGAUUCCUGUCUGCUCCA
rnacentral:tRNA from 1 species